AUUGAACGCUGGCGGCAUGCUUUACACAUGCAAGUCGAACGGUAACAGGGUGCUUGCACCGCUGACGAGUGGCGAACGGGUGAGUAAUGCGUCGGAACGUGCCGAGUAGUGGGGGAUAACGCAGCGAAAGUUGUGCUAAUACCGCAUACGUACUGAGGUAGAAAGUGGGGGACCUUCGGGCCUCACGCUAUUCGAGCGGCCGACGUCUGAUUAGCUAGUAGGUGAGGUAAAGGCUCACCUAGGCGACGAUCAGUAGCGGGUCUGAGAGGAUGAUCCGCCACACUGGGACUGAGACACGGCCCAGACUCCUACGGGAGGCAGCAGUGGGGAAUUUUGGACAAUGGGCGAAAGCCUGCUCCAGCCAUGCCGCGUGUCUGAAGAAGGCCUUCGGGUUGUAAAGGCCUUUUGUCAGGGAGGAAAUCCCUGUCUUUCAUACCGCUGGGGGAUGACAGUACCUGAAGAAUAAGCACCGGCUAACUACGUGCCAGCCGCCGCCGUAAGAC
rnacentral:rRNA from 1 species